rnacentral:rRNA from 1 species
AUUGAACGCUGGCGGCAGGCCUAACACAUGCAAGUCGAACGAGUGGCGGACGGGUGAGUAAUGUCUGGGAAACUGCCUGAUGGAGGGGGAUCACUACUGGAAACGGUAGCUAAUACCACAUACCAUCAGAUGUGCCCAGAUGGGAUUAGCUAGUUGGUGGGGUAACGGCUCACCAAGGCGACGAUCCCUAGCUGGUCUGAGAGGAUGACCAGCCAAACUGGAACUGAGACACGUUCCCGACGCCUACGUGCGUCGGCAGGGGGGAAGAGUGUACAAUUGGAGAAAGCCUGGUGCAGCCAUGCCGCGUGUAUGAAGAAGGCCUUCGGGUGGUAAAGUACUUUCAGCGAGGAGGCGUUACCCGCAGAAGAAGCACCGGCUAACUCCGUGCCAGCAGCCGCGGUAAUAC